CUCAUUGAAUUUAAAAGCAAACGUCUUUAAUAGAAAUGAAUGCAACUUUUUUUAAAAAAAUAAAAAUAUAUAAAUAAACUAUUAAUUAUAUUCCCUUAUUUCUAUCACAGAACAAACCCUCUAUACUCAUGAAUUAUUUUCUCUAUUUGUUUUCUCUCCAUCUUUAAUCCGAACCAUGACCAUAAAAACCCACGCCAACAACCAAAAUUACGGAUCUAACAACGUUUUCACCAGAAAGCUCGAUGAACACCGGUUGGGGUUCAUUAAUUGAAAACCAAAAAAAACUACAAAUUAACAAUCAAUCAAAACCAACAAGUUUGAAUAGAAGUUCAGAAUCUAAAAUGCCUUAUCAGACUUGGAAAAAAAACUCCAACUUCUCACAGAUCUAAACCUAACAUGGGUGGAUAUCAAUAAUCAUCAGGUUAUAGCAAACAUACAACAAAUGAAGGAGUUUUCGAUGAAUAAAAGAAGAGAAAACAAAAUUUAAAGCAACGGCAAAAAGGGUCACGCCGGAGCCUCAUGAAUCUUGCAAAACUCCGGCGGAAGUGAUUACCUAAGGUUUCUAAGUCAAAAUGACUAUGAGGAAAACAAAGAUCUGACAUCGACACUAGUCUAGAAAAGCUGAACUAGCACAAAGAGAAAUCAUAUCUGACUCCAAUGCAUAUGAGGAAGCAAUUACCUAAAGAAUUUGAUGAUGUAGUUCAACUCCAUAUCUGUAGAAUCUAUAACAAUAUCCAAAGAUUCUAUAUCUGAAGACUCUACAACAAUAUCUAAAGACUCUACAUCUGAAGACUCUGCAAGAUAACAUGUGAAGAUCAUUCUAAAGAAUAUCUGAAAACUUAAAGACAUAUGGACUCUGCUCAAAGACUCUGAUCAUGCUCACUCUGAUACACACCUUAACACUCUAUCUAAUAUCAUCGGAUCAGAAUCUUAAUCAGGAAGCAUUCUAAGUAUAGUAUAAAUCUUUUUAAGGAAACAAAGUAUUAUGUCCAAGACUGCUAUGGAAAGGGAAAGAAAUUUACUACCAUUAAUUCCAAUAGCUGGCACAGAAUCUCCUUUGAUCUCCCUCCAACAGUAUCAUCUCUAAAACCUAUAUAAAGGCCUCAUCACAACAUGUUGAACACAAGAUCCCGAUACAUAACAACAUUUUCAUAUCUUUCAUUGUAAUAUUUAGUUUUCACAUAAGAGCUGCUACUCAAAUUGUGUAGUUGUUAUUGCUCCUAAAUUUUGUUUAUACUGCUUAUAUAGAAGCACCUAGUCAAACACUUGUAUUCCUAAAACUCUUUGUAAUUCCUCAAGUGACUUGUCUAGGUAUGCAUACUUGUAAGACCCCAAUUUUGACCCUAAGAUCCCUAAUGCUAUCUCAUCAUUUGCAUUGGCUUUGAGAUCACACUUUGGUAUCCUCCUUACCCUUCAUUCAUUGAGUUUAUAUUGGGAGAGAUCAUCAA